CUGAUGCCACCUCCCACCCUAG
rnacentral:miRNA from 1 species